AGAGGGUGAUCGGCCCACACUGGCACUGAGACACGGCCCAGACUCCUACGGGAGGCAGCAGUAGGGAAUCUUCCGCAAUGGACGAAAGUCUGACGGAGCAACGCCGUGUGAGUGAUGAAGGUUUUCGGAUCGUAAAGCUCUGUUGUUAGGGAAGAACAAGUGCAAGAGUAACUGCUUGCACCUUGACGGUACCUAACCAGAAAGCCACGGCUAACUACGUGCCAGCAGCCGCGGUAAUACGUAGGUGGCAAGCGUUGUCCGGAAUUAUUGGGCGUAAAGGGCUCGCAGGCGGUUUCUUAAGUCUGAUGUGAAAGCCCCCGGCUCAACCGGGGAGGGUCAUUGGAAACUGGGAAACUUGAGUGCAGAAGAGGAGAGUGGAAUUCCACGUGUAGCGGUGAAAUGCGUAGAGAUGUGGAGGAACACCAGUGGCGAAGGCGACUCUCUGGUCUGUAACUGACGCUGAGGAGCGAAAGCGUGGGGAGCGAACAGGAUUAGAUACCCUGGUAGUCCACGCCGUAAACGAUGAGUGCUAAGUGUUAGGGGGUUUCCGCCCCUUAGUGCUGCAGCUAACGCAUUAAGCACUCCGCCUGGGGAGUACGGUCGCAAGACUGAAACUCAAAGGAAUUGACGGGGGCCCGCACAAGCGGUGGAGCAUGUGGUUUAAUUCGAAGCAACGCGAAGAACCUUACCAGGUCUUGACAUCCUCUGACAACCCUAGAGAUAGGGCUUUCCCUUCGGGGACAGAGUGACAGGUGGUGCAUGGUUGUCGUCAGCUCGUGUCGUGAGAUGUUGGGUUAAGUCCCGCAACGAGCGCAACCCUUGAUCUUAGUUGCCAGCAUUCAGUUGGGCACUCUAAGGUGACUGCCGGUGACAAACCGGAGGAAGGUGGGGAUGACGUCAAAUCAUCAUGCCCCUUAUGACCUGGGCUACACACGUGCUACAAUGGACAGAACAAAGGGCUGCGAGACCGCAAGGUUUAGCCAAUCCCACAAAUCUGUUCUCAGUUCGGAUCGCAGUCUGCAACUCGACUGCGUGAAGCUGGAAUCGCUAGUAAUCGCGGAUCAGCAUGCCGCGGUGAAUACGUUCCCGGGCCUUGUACACACCGCCCGUCACACCACGAGAGUUU
rnacentral:rRNA from 1 species